UAAUUGUGCCAAAUACUCGUCUUCUAA
rnacentral:sRNA from 1 species